rnacentral:rRNA from 1 species
UACGAAGGGGGCUAGCGUUGCUCGGAAUCACUGGGCGUAAAGCGCACGUAGGCGGCUUUCUAAGUCAGGGGUGAAAUCCUGGAGCUCAACUCCAGAACUGCCUUUGAUACUGGAGAGCUUGAGUCCGGAAGAGGUGAGUGGAACUCCGAGUGUAGAGGUGAAAUUCGUAGAUAUUCGGAAGAACACCAGUGGCGAAGGCGGCUCACUGGUCCGGUACUGACGCUGAGGUGCGAAAGCGUGGGGAGCGAACAGGA